GACGAACGCUGGCGGCGCGCCUAACACAUGCAAGUCGAACGGAGCUGAGAGAAGCUUGCUUUUCUUAGCUUAGUGGCGAACGGGUGAGUAACGCGUGAGUAACCUGCCCUGGAGUGGGGGACAACAGUUGGAAACGACUGCUAAUACCGCAUAAGCCCACGAUCCGGCAUCGGGUUGAGGGAAAAGGAUUUAUUCGCUUCAGGAUGGACUCGCGUCCAAUUAGCUAGUUGGUGAGGUAACGGCCCACCAAGGCGACGAUUGGUAGCCGGACUGAGAGGUUGAACGGCCACAUUGGGACUGAGACACGGCCCAGACUCCUACGGGAGGCAGCAGUGGGGGAUAUUGCACAAUGGGGGAAACCCUGAUGCAGCGACGCCGCGUGGAGGAAGAAGGUUUUCGGAUUGUAAACUCCUGUCGUUAGGGACGAUAAUGACGGUACCUAACAAGAAAGCACCGGCUAACUACGUG
rnacentral:rRNA from 1 species